UGCAGUCGAACGAGAUCUUCGGAUCUAGUGGCGCACGGGUGCGUAACGCGUGGGAAUCUGCCCUUGGGUUCGGGAUAACCAUUGGAAACGAUGGCUAAUACCGGAUGAUAUCGCGAGAUCAAAGAUUUAUCGCCCGAGGAUGAGCCCGCGUUGGAUUAGCUAGUUGGUGGGGUAAAGGCCUACCAAGGCGACGAUCCAUAGCUGGUCUGAGAGGAUGAUCAGCCACACUGGGACUGAGACACGGCCCAGACUCCUACGGGAGGCAGCAGUGGGGAAUAUUGGACAAUGGGCGAAAGCCUGAUCCAGCAAUGCCGCGUGAGUGAUGAAGGCCUUAGGGUUGUAAAGCUCUUUUACCCGGGAUGAUAAUGACAGUACCGGGAGAAUAAGCUCCGGCUAACUCCGUGCCAGCAGCCGCGGUAAUACGGAGGGAGCUAGCGUUGUUCGGAAUUACUGGGCGUAAAGCGCACGUAGGCGGCUUUGUAAGUUAGAGGUGAAAGCCUGGGGCUCAACCCCAGAAUUGCCUUUGAUACUGCAUGGCUUGAAUCCAGGAGAGGUGAGUGGAAUUCCGAGUGUAGAGGUGAAAUUCGUAGAUAUUCGGAAGAACACCAGUGGCGAAGGCGGCUCACUGG
rnacentral:rRNA from 1 species